AUUGAACGCUGGCGGCAUGCUUUACACAUGCAAGUCGAACGGUAACAGGCCGCAAGGUGCUGACGAGUGGCGAACGGGUGAGUAAUGCAUCGGAACGUGCCCAGUCGUGGGGGAUAACGCAGCGAAAGCUGUGCUAAUACCGCAUACGAUCUACGGAUGAAAGCGGGGGACUCAGCAAUGAGCCUCGCGCGAUUGGAGCGGCCGAUGUCAGAUUAGGUAGUUGGUGGGAUAAAAGCUCACCAAGCCAACGAUCUGUAGCUGGUCUGAGAGGACGACCAGCCACACUGGGACUGAGACACGGCCCAGACUCCUACGGGAGGCAGCAGUGGGGAAUUUUGGACAAUGGGCGCAAGCCUGAUCCAGCAAUGCCGCGUGCAGGAAGAAGGCCUUCGGGUUGUAACUGCUUUGUACGGAACGAACGGUCUGGGUUAAUACCCUGGCGUAAUGACGGUACCGUAAGAAUAAGCACCGGCUAACUACGU
rnacentral:rRNA from 1 species